GAUGAACGCUGGCGGCGUGCCUAAUACAUGCAAGUCGAGCGAACGGACGAGAAGCUUGCUUCUCUGAUGUUAGCGGCGGACGGAUGAGUAACACGUGGAUAACCUACCUAUAAGACUGGGAUAACUUCGGGAAACCGUAGCUAAUACCGGAUAAUAUUUUGAACUGCAUGGUUCAAAAGUGAAAGACGGUCUUGCUGUCACUUAUAGAUGGAUCCGCGCUGCAUUAGUUAGUUGGUAAGGUAACGGCUUACCAAGGCAACGAUGCAUAGCCGACCUGAGAGGGUGAUCGGCCACACUGGAACUGAGACACGGUCCAGACUCCUACGGGAGGCAGCAGUAGGGAAUCUUCCGCAAUGGGCGAAAGCCUGACGGAGCAACGCCGCGUGAGUGAUGAAGGUCUUCGGAUCGUAAAACUCUGUUAUUAGGGAAGAACAUAUGUGUAAGUAACUGUGCACAUCUUGACGGUACCUAAUCAGAAAGCCACGGCUAACUACGUGCCAGCAGCCGCGGUAAUACGUAGGUGGCAAGCGUUAUCCGGAAUUAUUGGGCGUAAAGCGCGCGUAGGCGGUUUUUUAAGUCUGAUGUGAAAGCCCACGGCUCAACCGUGGAGGGUCAUUGGAAACUGGAAAACUUGAGUGCAGAAGAGGAAGGUGGAAUUCCAUGUGUAGCGGUGAAAUGCGCAGAGAUAUGGAGGAACACCAGUGGCGAAGGCGACUUUCUGGUCUGUAACUGACGCUGAUGUGCGAAAGCGUGGGGAUCAAACAGGAUUAGAUACCCUGGUAGUCCACGCCGUAAACGAUGAGUGCUAAGUGUUAGGGGGUUUCCGCCCCUUAGUGCUGCAGCUAACGCAUUAAGCACUCCGCCUGGGGAGUACGACCGCAAGGUUGAAACUCAAAGGAAUUGACGGGGACCCGCACAAGCGGUGGAGCAUGUGGUUUAAUUCGAAGCAACGCGAAGAACCUUACCAAAUCUUGACAUCCUUUGACAACUCUAGAGAUAGAGCCUUCCCCUUCGGGGGACAAAGUGACAGGUGGUGCAUGGUUGUCGUCAGCUCGUGUCGUGAGAUGUUGGGUUAAGUCCCGCAACGAGCGCAACCCUUAAGCUUAGUUGCCAUCAUUAAGUUGGGCACUCUAAGUUGACUGCCGGUGACAAACCGGAGGAAGGUGGGGAUGACGUCAAAUCAUCAUGCCCCUUAUGAUCUGGGCUACACACGUGCUACAAUGGACAAUACAAAGGGCAGCGAAACCGCGAGGUCAAGCAAAUCCCAUAAAGUUGUUCUCAGUUCGGAUUGUAGUCUGCAACUCGACUACAUGAAGCUGGAAUCGCUAGUAAUCGUAGAUCAACAUGCUACGGUGAAUACGUUCCCGGGUCU
rnacentral:rRNA from 1 species